GCUCAGUUGGUAGAGCAUGGUGUUUGCAACACCAGGGUUGUGGGUUCGAUUCCCAC
rfam:Salmo salar isolate Sally breed double haploid chromosome ssa09, whole genome shotgun sequence.